CCUACGGGAGGCAGCAGUGAGGAAUAUUGGUCAAUGGACGAGAGUCUGAACCAGCCAAGUAGCGUGAAGGAUGACUGCCCCAUGGGUUGUAAACUUCUUUUAUAAAGGAAUAAAACGAGGCACGUGUGCCUUUUUGCAUGUACUUUAUGAAUAAGGAUCGGCUAACUCCGUGCCAGCAGCCGCGGUAAUACGGAGGAUCCGAGCGUUAUCCGGAUUUAUUGGGUUUAAAGGGAGCGUAGAUGGGUUUUUAAGUCAGUUGUGAAAGUUUGCGGCUCAACCGUAAAAUUGCAAUUGAUACUGGCAGUCUUGAGUACAGUUGAGGUAAGCGGAAUUCGUGGUGUAGCGGUGAAAUGCUUAGAUAUCACGAAGAACCCCGAUUGCGAAGGCAGCUUACUAAACUGUGACUGACAUUGAUGCGCGAAAGUGUGGGGAGCAAACAGGAUUAGAUACCCUUGUAGUC
rnacentral:rRNA from 1 species